rnacentral:rRNA from 1 species
CGGCGGACGGGUGAGUAACACGUGGGUAACCUACCUAUAAGACUGGGAUAACUUCGGGAAACCGGAGCUAAUACCGGAUAAUAUUUCGAACCGCAUGGUUCGAUAGUGAAAGAUGGUUUUGCUAUCACUUAUAGAUGGACCCGCGCCGUAUUAGCUAGUUGGUAAGGUAACGGCUUACCAAGGCGACNGAUACGUAGCCGACCUGAGAGGGUGAUCGGCCACACUGGAACUGAGACACGGUCCAGACUCCUACGGGAGGCAGCAGG